rnacentral:lncRNA from 1 species
CGCAGUCACACAUUAGGGUUAGUAUUAAACUUUGUUUAGGUGUACCAUAAUUAACUUGGCUAGUUGUUUGAAGUCUAUGGAAGAAAUAGUUUUAUGCAAAAUUUUAAAAAAAAAAUUCCAGUUUGAUCAGGAAGAGGGUUCCGUGGUGCUGAGAGCCAGGAAGGUGGGAGAACCUCAGGUAGAGACAUCGAGUACCUUGAUUGUCUUACACUUGAGCAGCCCAGGUUGACCUUGUGAUGUGAAUUGACCUGAUCAGACUUUAUUAAAAACG